ensembl:lncRNA novel transcript
ACCUUACAGUUUGGCUUUUUGUGUAUCCCCCGAGAGGAGGAGUUCAUCAGUCAGGAGUCCCUGGGGGGCAGGGCUAAGGGGCCACCACGGGAAGGAGGCUCAGGUGGCUGACUCCGCUCCCCUGCUGGCUCUGCCCUGACACUGUCUCCAUGGAAUCCAGGGCUCCAGUUCUAAUCAUGGAGCUCAGAACCAUCAAGAGCUGAUGAGAGAGACAAAUGCUCCUUAAAGGCAGAAAGCUACCCACCUUAAGAAAAUGCAAUAUUUCGCACGACUUUUGUUGUCUUUGUUUUUAAAGUGAAAUGGGAAGAUCAUUUCUGUAUAAAAAUACAGACAUUUCUUCAAAAUUCUUGAUUCUGUUACUCUGCCCCCAAAAUGCCAAAGGAAAACAUAAACACAUCUUGAAAGACUGUCUGAACGGAGCCCAACCAACAGAAGCUGAGUGUCACUGAGCUGGAGUGCAAUGGCGCAAUCUCAACUCACUGCAACCUCUGCCUCCCGGGUCCAAGAGAUUCUCCUGCCUCAGCCUCCUA